rnacentral:rRNA from 1 species
GUGAGGAAUUUUCCGCAAUGGGCGAAAGCCUGACGGAGCAAUGCCGCGUGAAGGAUGAAGGCCUAUGGGUUGUAAACUUCUUUUCUCAGAAAAGAAUUAUGACGGUAUCUGAGGAAUAAGCAUCGGCUAACUCUGUGCCAGCAGCCGCGGUAAGAAAGAGGAUGCAAGCGUUAUCCGGAAUGAUUGGGCGUAAAGCGUCUGUAGGUUGUUUAAAAAGUAUUCUGUCAAAGAUUAGGGCUUAACCCUAGAUAGGCAGAAUAAACUUUUAAGCUAGAGUUUGGUAUAGGCAGAGGGAAUUCCCGGUGGAGCGGUGAAAUGCGUAGAUAUCGGGAGGAACACCAAAGGCGAAGGCACUCUGCUGGGCCAAUACUAACACUGAGAGACGAAAGCGAGGGGAGCAAAUGGGAUUAGAAACCCGGGUAGUCC